CCCCUACGGGGGGCAGCAGUGGGGGAUAUUGCACAAUGGGGGAAACCCUGAUGCAGCGACGCCGCGUGUGGGAAGACGGUCUUCUGGAUUGUAAACCACUGUCCCCAGGGACGAAAAUGACGGUACCUGGGGAGGAAGCUCCGGCUAACUACGUGCCAGCAGCCGCGGUAAUACGUAGGGAGCAAGCGUUAUCCGGAAUUACUGGGUGUAAAGGGAGAGUAGGCGGCAAGGUAAGCGAUAUGUGAAAGCCUU
rnacentral:rRNA from 1 species